AUAUAUUUAAUGUACAGAACUAUUGCUAAAAUCUACCAGGAACUGUAGAACUAUUGCGGGUGCGAGUAGAAUUAUUGAUACAACUUUUGUUUUUUACUAGUGAGGUGCCAGAAAAAAUUAGCACUUCAUAACUUCAAAUUUUAUUUUUUUAAACUAAAUCAACGAAAUUAUUUCUGAAACUUAUCAGGAGCUCUAGAACUAUUUGGGGUGCAAGUAAAACUGUCAUGAAAACUUGCGAUACAGAAAGUUGCGAUGUCAACUUCACAGUGACCUGUGACAUCCCCCCCUCCUCCUUACAUUUAGCCAUGUUGCGUGGUAUAUCCUCUCUCCUGUUAUUCUUUCCUCCCUAUUGUACCUAAUUUUUAAUUUGCAAUCCAGGUUAUAUAUUUAAAAUAUAAUAAAAAAUUAAUUAUAUCUAUCUAAAUCACAAAUAUAUGCUCAUGAAAUCACGAAACUUCAGUCAUAAAGUAGCAACUAAGAAGAAGAAUCUACGUCAAUACAAUUCCUUCAAAAUACUAUAAAUCUUUAAAUUUUCUUAUCCUAAAAAUACCUUCUUAAAUUUUUUCUCCCCCUUUCUCUGUGACAAAAAUAAAAUACAAAUUAGAAGAGGAUCUACAAAUUUGGUUGAAAAUGAUUGAGAACUAAAAUAUCAAAAUUUCUAAUCAAAAGUUCUAAUAAUGCAAGCUACAAUUUUUACAAAAUUGGCAUAAAAUUGUUUCAAUAUGUAAAAUUCAUACAAAAGCCUUUCAUGUGUAAGCUAAAAAUUAGAAGGUCAAUCAAUCAAAUAAACCUUGACCUUAUCUAUUUUAUUUUGACUAAUUAAAUUUAAUUUUUUAAAUUUAGUUUUUAAUUUACAAUCUCUCAGUAGUAAUCUGAUACAUGCUUUAUUUUAUAUUUUGUUUCUGAAAUACUUAUUCUAAAAAUUGCCAGUAUAUAUAUAUGUAGUUGUAAAUCAUACUUUCUCACUUUAAGUUAACUAUGUUCCAUAUCUCAUGUAGAACACGCGUUACAUAAGGUAUUUUUUAAUUUAUUGAUUAAUUAAUCUCAUUAUUGGCAAUUUUGCUGGUAAUUGUUCAGUUUAGGAGGCUUGUUCUUAAAAAUCGAUAAAAUUAUCCUCAUUCCACGGGUUUUUGCACGAAAUGAAAGAAUCUGGCAGAAAAAAGCGUCGCUCUGCCUCAAUAAGGGAAAUAUUAAUCGUUAAAGUUGACUACUCAUCAGGUUAGGAUACCUAUCGUUGCGUCGAAAGUUGCAAACCCAUAUGGUGCAGAGAAUGCUUUGCACGCAUACACACACACACACGGGGGUGCAAGGGGGGGCCUUCGGCCCCUCCUCCCGCACCCACUUCAUCCAAGUCGCUAACCCAUGUGGACUUUACUUAGCUUGCAUUGUACAUGGGUUACCCCAUGAUAUGACAGGUAUUCUAACCUGGAACAGGCCCCCUAAACUGAACAAUUACCAAUCAAACAUACAUUAUACAAAGUACGAAAUGUAGCUAACUUAAAAAAAAGAAGCAUUAUUGACUAUGUGUGUACAGUAGAACGUUCGUGAAAUAAGAAAAACAAUUACUUUAAUUAUUAACCGAAAUUAAUAAAUUUCGAGAUAUGAUCUCGCCAAGCCACGUGGCCCAUUCA